rnacentral:rRNA from 1 species
UAAUACGUAGGGGGCAAGCGUUGUCCGGAUUUACUGGGCGUAAAGAGCGCGUAGGCGGAACGUUAAGUCCGGUUUGAAAGCCCCCGGCUCAACCGGGGAGAGUGGCUGGAAACUGGCGUUCUUGAGGGCGAUAGAGGAGUGUGGAAUUCCUGGUGUAGCGGUGAAAUGCGUAGAGAUCAGGAGGAACACCCGUGGCGAAGGCGGCACUCUGGAUCGGCCCUGACGCUGAGGCGCGAAAGCGUGGGGAGCGAACGGGAUUAGAUACCCCGGUAGUCCACGCCGUAAACGAUGGUCACUAGGUGUGUGCGGUAUCGACCCCGCACGUGCCGCAGCUAACGCAAUAAGUGACCCGCCUGGGGAGUACGGCCGCAAGGUUG